rnacentral:rRNA from 1 species
GACGAACGCUGGCGGCGCGCUUAACACAUGCAAGUCGAGCGAAGCGGCGGACGGGUGAGUAACACGUGAGUAACCUGCCUUAGACAUUGGGAUAGCCACGGGAAACCGGGAAUAAUACCAAAUGGUCUAAGAUGGACUCGCGUCCCAUUAGAUAGUUGGUGAGGUAACGGCCCACCAAGGCGACGAUGGGUAGCCGGCCGGAGAGGGUGAACGGCCACAUUGGAACUGCGACACGGUCCAAACUCUGCGGGAGGCAGCAGUGGGGAAUCUUGCACAAUGGAGGGAACUCUGAUGCCGCGACGCCGCGUGAACGAAGAAGGCUUUCGAGUCGUAAAGUUCUUUUAUAUGGGAAGCGGUACCAUAAGAAAAAGCCCCGGCUAACUACGUGCCAGCAGCGCGGUAAUAC